AUGAACGCUAGCUACAGGCUUAACACAUGCAAGUCGAGGGGCAUCAGGAAGAAAGCUUGCUUUCUUUGCUGGCGACCGGCGCACGGGUGAGUAACACGUAUCCAACCUGCCCUUUACUCGGGGAUAGCCUUUCGAAAGAAAGAUUAAUACCCGAUAGUAUAAUGAUUCCGCAUGGUUUCAUUAUUAAAGGAUUCCGGUAAAGGAUGGGGAUGCGUUCCAUUAGGUUGUUGGUGAGGUAACGGCCCACCAAGCCUUCGAUGGAUAGGGGUUCUGAGAGGAAGGUCCCCCACAUUGGAACUGAGACACGGUCCAAACUCCUACGGGAGGCAGCAGUGAGGAAUAUUGGUCAAUGGGCGCUAGCCUGAACCAGCCAAGUAGCGUGAAGGAUGAAGGCUCUAUGGGUCGUAAACUUCUUUUAUAUAAGAAUAAAGUGCAGUAUGUAUACUGUUUUGUAUGUAUUAUAUGAAUAAGGAUCGGCUAACUCCGUGCCAGCAGCCGCGGUAAUACGGAGGAUCCGAGCGUUAUCCGGAUUUAUUGGGUUUAAAGGGAGCGUAGGUGGACUGGUAAGUCAGUUGUGAAAGUUUGCGGCUCAACCGUAAAAUUGCAGUUGAUACUGUCAGUCUUGAGUACAGUAGAGGUGGGCGGAAUUCGUGGUGUAGCGGUGAAAUGCUUAGAUAUCACGAAGAACUCCGAUUGCGAAGGCAGCUCACUGGACUGCAACUGACACUGAUGCUCGAAAGUGUGGGUAUCAAACAGGAUUAGAUACCCUGGUAGUCCACACAGUAAACGAUGAAUACUCGCUGUUUGCGAUAUACAGUAAGCGGCCAAGCGAAAGCAUUAAGUAUUCCACCUGGGGAGUACGCCGGCAACGGUGAAACUCAAAGGAAUUGACGGGGGCCCGCACAAGCGGAGGAACAUGUGGUUUAAUUCGAUGAUACGCGAGGAACCUUACCCGGGCUUAAAUUGCAGUGGAAUGAUGUGGAAACAUGUCAGUGAGCAAUCACCGCUGUGAAGGUGCUGCAUGGUUGUCGUCAGCUCGUGCCGUGAGGUGUCGGCUUAAGUGCCAUAACGAGCGCAACCCUUAUCUUUAGUUACUAACAGGUUAUGCUGAGGACUCUAGAGAGACUGCCGUCGUAAGAUGUGAGGAAGGUGGGGAUGACGUCAAAUCAGCACGGCCCUUACGUCCGGGGCUACACACGUGUUACAAUGGGGGGUACAGAAGGCAGCUAGCGGGUGACCGUAUGCUAAUCCCAAAAUCCUCUCUCAGUUCGGAUCGAAGUCUGCAACCCGACUUCGUGAAGCUGGAUUCGCUAGUAAUCGCGCAUCAGCCACGGCGCGGUGAAUACGUUCCCGGGCCUUGUACACACCGCCCGUCAAGCCAUGGGAGCCGGGGGUACCUGAAGUACGUAACCGCAAGGAUCGUCCUAGGGUAAAACUGGUGACUGGGGCU
rnacentral:rRNA from 1 species